CUACGGGAGGCAGCAGUGGGGAAUCUUCCGCAAUGGACGAAAGUCUGACGGAGCAACGCCGCGUGAGUGAUGACGGCCUUCGGGUUGUAAAGCUCUGUUAAUCGGGACGAAUGGUUCUUGUGCAAAUAGUGCGAGGAUUUGACGGUACCGGAAUAGAAAGCCACGGCUAACUACGUGCCAGCAGCCGCGGUAAUACGUAGGUGGCAAGCGUUGUCCGGAAUUAUUGGGCGUAAAGCGCGCGCAGGCGGAUUGGUCAGUCUGUCUUAAAAGUUCGGGGCUUAACCCCGUGAUGGGAUGGAAACUGCCAAUCUAGAGUAUCGGAGAGGAAAGUGGAAUUCCUAGUGUAGCGGUGAAAUGCGUAGAUAUUAGGAAGAACACCAGUGGCGAAGGCGACUUUCUGGACGAAAACUGACGCUGAGGCGCGAAAGCCAGGGGAGCGAACGGGAUUAGAUACCCCGGUAGUCCUGGCCGUAAACGAUGGGUACUAGGUGUAGGAGGUAUCGACCCCUUCUGUGCCGGAGUUAACGCAAUAAGUACCCCGCCUGGGGAGUACGACCGCAAGGUUGCAACUCAAAGGAAUUGACGG
rnacentral:rRNA from 1 species